GACGAACGCUGGCGGCGUGCUUAACACAUGCAAGUCGAACGGAAAGGCCCUGCUUUUGUGGGGUGCUCGAGUGGCGAACGGGUGAGUAACACGUGAGUAACCUGCCCUUGACUUUGGGAUAACUUCAGAAAACUGGGGCUAAUACCGGAUAGGAGCUCCUGCUGCUUGGUGGGGGUUGGAAAGUUUCGGCGGUUGGGGAUGGAAUCGCGGCUUAUCAGCUUGUUGGUGGGGUAGUGGCUUACCAAGGCUUUGACGGGUAGCCGGCCUGAGAGGGUGACAGGACACACUGGGACUGAGAUGCGGCCCAGCCUCGUACGGGAGGCAGCGGAGGGGAAUAUUGCACAAUGGGCGGAAGCCUGAUGCAGCAACGCCGCGUGCGGGAUGACGGCCUUCGGGUUGUAAACCGCUUUCGCCUGUGACGAAGCGUGAGUGACGGUAAUGGGUAAAGAAGCACCGGCUAACUACGUG
rnacentral:rRNA from 1 species